GAUGAACGCUGGCGGCGUGCCUAAUACAUGCAAGUCGAGCGAGCAGACGAGGAGCUUGCUCCUCUGACGUUAGCGGCGGACGGGUGAGUAACACGUGGAUAACCUACCUAUAAGACUGGGAUAACUUCGGGAAACCGGAGCUAAUACCGGAUAAUAUAUUGAACCGCAUGGUUCAAUAGUGAAAGACGGUUUUGCUGUCACUUAUAGAUGGAUCCGCGCCGCAUUAGCUAGUUGGUAAGGUAACGGCUUACCAAGGCAACGAUGCGUAGCCGACCUGAGAGGGUGAUCGGCCACACUGGAACUGAGACACGGUCCAGACUCCUACGGGAGGCAGCAGUAGGGAAUCUACCGCAAUGGGCGAAAGCCUGACGGAGCAACGCCGCGUGAGUGAUGAAGGUCUUCGGAUCGUAAAACUCUGUUAUUAGGGAAGAACAAAUGUGUAAGUAACUAUGCACGUCUUGACGGUACCUAAUCAGAAAGCCACGGCUAACUACGUG
rnacentral:rRNA from 1 species